UACGUAGGUGGCAAGCGUUGUCCGGAUUUACUGGGCGUAAAGGGCGCGUAGGCGGUCUGGUCAGUCCCUUGUGAAAUCCCCCGGCUCAACUGGGGAACUGCACGGGAAACAGCCGGGCUUGAGUUCGGGAGAGGGAAGCGGAAUUCCGGGUGUAGCGGUGAAAUGCGUAGAUAUCCGGAGGAACCCCGGUGGCGAGGGCGGCUUCCUGGACCGAAACUGACGCUGAGGCGCGAAGCUAGGGGAGCAAACGGG
rnacentral:rRNA from 1 species